GGUGGCUCAGUGGUAGAGUGAUUGCCUGACAUGCAUGAGGCCUUGGGUUCGAUUCCUCAGCACCA
rnacentral:tRNA from 1 species